rnacentral:rRNA from 1 species
GACGAACGCUGGCGGCGUGCUUAACACAUGCAAGUCGAACGGAAAGGCCCUGCUUUUGUGGGGUGCUCGAGUGGCGAACGGGUGAGUAACACGUGAGUAACCUGCCCUUGACUUUGGGAUAACUUCAGGAAACUGGGGCUAAUACCGGAUAGGAGCUCCUGCUGCAUGGUGGGGGUUGGAAAGUUUCGGCGGUUGGGGAUGGACUCGCGGCUUAUCAGCUUGUUGGUGGGGUAGUGGCUUACCAAGGCUUUGACGGGUAGCCGGCCUGAGAGGGUAACCGGCAAAAUGGGGACGGAGAGACGGCCCAGACCCUAAGGGGGGGGAGGAGGGGGGAAAAUGGCAAAAGGGGGGGAAGCCUGAGGCAGAAACGCCGGGGGGGGGAGGAGGGCCUUGGGGUGGGAAACCGUUUUCGCUGGGGAAGAAGGGGGGGGGAGGGUAAGGGGGAAAGAAGCACCGGCUAACUACGG